rnacentral:rRNA from 1 species
AUGGGCGUCGUCUUGGCGAGUUCCGUGUCGCCAUCCCCGUGGAAUGCGGCAGCAUCCUCCGAGCUUCUGCGCCUUUGUCCUCCAUGGCACCGGAUUGAUGAUGUAGACAACGGGCGUCGUCCUAGCAAGCUUCGUCCAUCCACCGCGGCACGGCGGCGGCAUCGUCACAAGCUCCAUGCCUCCGUCUUCAAUGGCGCCGUCUUGAAGAAGAAGACGACAGGCGUCGUCCGGGCGACCUCCGUGUCGCCAUCCUCCGUUGGUCGCGUUGCCCGCCGCCUCGACAGCACCUGGUAUGAGAAGAACACCCCUUUGUCCGCGGCCACCUCCGUUGGGCGCAUCGCCCGCCGCUUCAACUGCUCCAGGUACAGGAAGAGUGUUGUAUCGUCCGCGGCCAACUCUGCUGGGCGUGCUUUCCGAAAGCCAUUCUGCAAAAUAAAUGAUUACAUAUAG